UACGUAGGGACCAAGCGUUGUUCGGAUUUACUGGGCGUAAAGGGCGCGUAGGCGGCAUGACAAGUCACUUGUGAAAUCUCCGGGCUUAACUCGGAACGGUCAAGUGAUACUGUCGCGCUAGAGUGCGGAAGGGGCAAUCAGAAUUCUUGGUGUAGCGGUGAAAUGCGUAGAUAUCAAGAGGAAUACCUGAGGUGAAGACGGGUUGCUAGGCCGACACUGACGCUGAAGCGCGAAAGCCGGGGGAGCAAACGGG
rnacentral:rRNA from 1 species